UUAGCACAGUGCUUCACACAUAGGUGUUCAAAAGAUAUUCGAACAUCAUGAUUUAUGUACAGAAACAACUAGAAAACACUGUGGAAUCUGAUUUGUGGAGACCACUCUUGGUCAACUAGUGUUAAAAAGCAAUGAACACAGGUUUCUAAGACUCUGUGAUGUAAAUAAAGGAAAGCUGGGGAUCCAAUUUGAAGCUGUGUUCUGGUGUAUUGCUUUCUCAAUCAACUCCAGUCCUUGAGGUCCUAUGUCACUACCUGAACAUGAAUUUUACUUCCCGUGAGGUAGGUAGGAAUAACACUAAGUAUGCAUUAGAAAUUGGGGGGGGGCAUGGCACAUUUUUAUAAAUGGUUAUCAUGAAUUGGUUCACACACUUUGAAAUAUUUCACUUUCAUUCUUAUCUACCAAAUAUGGGAAUUAUGAGGCACAUGUUCCCUGAGGAUUUUUUUCCUUUAGAAAUAGUGUUUUUCCAGCAAAGAUUUAGUGCUGUUCUCUUAGGCGUCUAUUUUCAACAUGUUUGGGCAACCCUAUGUAUGAGUUUUCAAUUUUUAAAAAAUAAGGCUAUUAGGAAAACAUUCUUGGGACUUCCCUGUUGGUCCACUGGUUAAGACUCUGCACCCAGAAUGCAGGGAGCAUGCGCUUUAUCCCUGGUCAGGAAGAUAAGUAUACCCAAAGUGGCAUACUCCUUUAAGUAUUUAUGUAUUCUAAUUUCCAAAAAUUGCAAUUUUUCACCACAGCAAUUAUGGGGAGAACUAGUAAACUACAAUUAAGUGUUUCAUAGGUCAUUAAGAUAUAUUAUUCAAACUCUGACCUUACUUCCUUUCAGGUCACCAAUAAAGCUAUAUAUUAUUCAUUUUUAAAGAACGGGCUAUAUAUCUUUAUUUCCAACGACUGACUAGGUAUCCUUCUGCUCCUCAGUCAUAUCCUAGAACUAAAUAUUUACAAUCUCAAAAUGACUUCUGGAGAGCAGGACUCCAGGUUACCUCUAGGUAUGUGGUUAACCUCUCCUCUAACAUUUGGCUCGGUCCUCAUUUCCAUAAACAUAUUUCUUGGCAUUAGGAAGAGCAACAUUCAAGUUUUCUUAGCACUUCUAUCUCCAGAUCAAUUGGAAAAAACAUAAAACCGGCUAUGAAAUUCACUUCUCAAAGAAGGAAAACAGAAUGAUUUCUAUUAUCUUCACGAUAUUAUUUCUUCAUGUAAACCCUAUGGCCUGAAGGUGGUGGCAGAG
rnacentral:lncRNA from 1 species